rnacentral:rRNA from 1 species
GCGACCCCAGGACAGGCGAGGCCACCCGCCGAGUUUAAGCAUAUCAAUAAGCGGAGGAGAAGAAACUUACGAGGAUUCCCCUAGUAACGGCGAGCGAACCGGGAUAGGCCCAGCAUUGGAAUCGGGCUGCCAUGCAGCAGCUCGAAUUGUAGUCUGGAGAAGCGUCCUCAGCGACGGACCGGGCCCAAGUCCCCUGG